rfam:Cucumber Bulgarian virus RNA polymerase pre-readthrough protein, RNA polymerase, coat protein, movement protein, and symptom severity modulator genes, complete cds.
GAAAUUCUCCAGCCUGACCAGGUGGUGAGUUGCGGUGUUGUCUACCGUAGAGGAUUUCUCUCGUGCCUUGUUACGGGUUUGAAGGGCGAGCCUAUCUUCGGAGGGUAAAUUGUAACUUUCGCCAAACAGGACUAUG